CACGUAGGGCGCAAGCGUUGUCCGGAAUUAUUGGGCGUAAAGAGCUCGUAGGUGGUUUGCUGCGUCCGCUGUGAAAACCCAAGGCUUAACCUUGGGCUUGCAGUGGAUACGGGCAGACUAGAGGUAGGUAGGGGAGAAUGGAAUUCCCGGUGUAGCGGUGAAAUGCGCAGAUAUCGGGAGGAACACCGGUGGCGAAGGCGGUUCUCUGGGCCUUACCUGACACUGAGGAGCGAAAGCGUGGGGAGCGAACAGG
rnacentral:rRNA from 1 species